UUUGGGGGAACAAUUAAAUAUGAAACACUGUAUAACUUGAAUAUAGAUACGUGUCCAGUUUUCUCUGAAAACUAACUUUUCCAUUUGCACGAGAGACAUUUAAAAAGCCACUUGGUAAUAUUAAAAAAAAACAGAACUGGCAAUGUCACAGGACUAGGAAGAGAGAUGAAACAGCCAUUUGCAAAAUAAAAGAAUGCUUCUAUUCAUUUUUAUCUGGAAAAAUCUAACUCCUGUAUCUCCUCAAAAUAACAAAACAGUAAAAUUUCAAAAUUCAGGAGGAAUAACAGAACAAUAAAUAGCACUGGGUAGUUGUAAGGAAAAAAGUAGCUUCUUUAAUAGAUUUCUAUGAUGAAUGAAAAAGAUUGUGAGACAUGGUAUGUGCUGCAAUUUGAUUACAUAC
rnacentral:lncRNA from 1 species